GUACGUACAAGCAGUGGGAGCACAGGUUUACCUGUGUGACUGCGUACCUUUUGUAUAAUGGGUCAGCGACUUAUAUUCUGUAGCAAGGUUAACCGUAUAGGGGAGCCGCAGGGAAACCGAGUCUUAACCGGGCGUUAAGUUGCAGGGUAUAGACCCGAAACCCGGUGAUCUAGCCAUGGGCAGGUUGAAGGUUGGGUAACACUAACUGGAGGACCGAACCGACUAAUGUUGAAAAAUUAGCGGAUGACCUGUGGCUGGGGGUGAAAGGCCAAUCAAACCGGGAGAUAGCUGGUUCUCCCCGAAAGCUAUUUAGGUAGCGCCUCGUGAAUUCAUCUCCGGGGGUAGAGCACUGUUUCGGCUAGGGGGCCAUCCCGGCUUACCAACCCGAUGCAAACUGCGAAUACCGGAGAAUGUUAUCACGGGAGACACACGGCGGGUGCUAACGUCCGUCGUGAAGAGGGAAACAACCCAGACCGCCAGCUAAGGUCCCAAAGUCAUGGUUAAGUGGGAAACGAUGUGGGAAGGCCCAGACAGCCAGGAUGUUGGCUUAGAAGCAGCCAUCAUUUAAAGAAAGCGUAAUAGCUCACUGGUCGAGUCGGCCUGCGCGGAAGAUGUAACGGGGCUAAACCAU
rnacentral:rRNA from 1 species